rnacentral:rRNA from 1 species
GUGCCAGCCGCCGCGGUAAUACCGGCAGCUCAAGUGAUGUCCCAUAUUAUUGGGCCUAAAGCGUCCGUAGCUGGGUCUGAAAGUCCAUCGGGAAAUCCACUCGCUCAACGAGUGGCCGUCCGGUGGAAACUGGCCGGCUUGGAACCGGAAGGCUCAGAGAGUACGUCCGGGGUAGGAGUGAAAUCCCGUAAUCCCGCACGGACCACCGAUGGCGAAAGCACUUCGAGAAAACGGAUCCGACAGUGAGGGACGAAAGCCAGGGUCUCCAACCGGAUUAGAAACCCCGGUAGUCC